UCAGGCAGCAGCGAUGGAGGAAAGUGAUGAAAGUGAGAAUUACCCUCCAAAGGACAUUGCUAAAGUAAAGAGCAUGGUACAAUACAUCUUAAUGAAUAAAAAGCUACCAUCUACUAUUCCCAGUCAUUUGAGGCUUUCUUCAGACUAUAAGGAAUUUCCAAAACACCUAAUCCCUGAUGAGACAAUGUGCUACCACUGCUCAGACCGCACAUUGCUCAGUGAUCCUGUCUGCAUUACACGUAAAGCGAAAAUUCUCACAACUACAGGAAUUGUCCAAGGUGGAUAAUUGUUACUUACAUAUUUUAUUUUAAUUAUGAAAAAGAUACUAAACCAUUUAUUUUACAUUCUGUAUCUGCAGAUAUUUCAACCUACUACAAAUUCUGUCCUUUCUGUGGAAUGGUGUAACGUUACCAAGAGUGGGCUAAUGGUUUGCAUAACUUCAAUGACCAUGUCCUCCUUGAACUCUCUCUCUGCCUCACCAUAAGAAACCUGUUGCAGGUGCAUACAGCAGUCAGCAGAGUAGUGGAGUACUUGGAGGUAACUACAGGUGUACAGUUCCCCUCAGCAAUUAUUCUUCUCCACGGCUAUCUGCAUUUUGAGGCCCUAACUGACCAUGAAUACAAGUAUUCAUGUGUAUCUUGUGGUGACCAUCCAUCUGUGUCUUUCAUGUUACCUGUAUCUUUCCUUUUUACUGCAGAGAGCCUCCACAAGAUUUUAAUGGAGAGGUGGAUUUAGAUAUGUUUGGAAGGCACUGACAGAAGAACGAAUUGCUCGAGGAUUUUUUUCAAGU